GGUUCCUGGCUCUGCAGUUCCCAGCAUGCCCUGAGGGAAGGAGAGGGUGGCACGCAGGAAAUUCUGUGCAAGCCUGGGACCAAGCAUCAGACUGUUUCUCCCUCUGGAUCCCUGGGCUCUGGGGGUAGGGGGAGGAGGAUGAGUGUCUGGGAAAGGGAAUGCCCCUGGAGUACCCUAUGAUGUGACUGAAGCUGAGGUAAUGUGGUAUGGGGCAGCAGAAAAGCUGAUUGUGAAGCAAUUAUCUGAAACAUGCCAUGAAGAUUUGAAGCUAAGGAAGGGAAAAAAACAUUUGCACUAUACCAGGAGGAAGUUUUGCCAUCGAUGGAUCAAGCAUUAAAUGAAGACGACAUGACAAACCACUUUCGUCUUUUUAGAUUGCUUUAUUAAAAACAAAA